rnacentral:tRNA from 1 species
AAUAGAGUGCCUGAUUAAAGGAUUAUUUUGAUAGAAUAAAUUAUGUGCCACCCACCUCUAUUU